UACGUAGGGGGCUAGCGUUGUCCGGAAUCAUUGGGCGUAAAGCGCGUGUAGGCGGCUCUUCAAGUCAGACGUGAAAGCCCCGGGCUUAACUCGGGAACUGCGUUUGAUACUGUCGAGCUAGAGUGUGGAAGGGGCGAUUGGAAUUCCGUGUGUAGCGGUGAAAUGCGUAGAUAUACGGAGGAACACCAGAGGCGAAGGCGGAUCGCUGGGCCAACACUGACGCUGAGACGCGAAAGCUAGGGGAGCAAACGGG
rnacentral:rRNA from 1 species